UACGUAGGGGGCAAGCGUUGUCCGGAAUCAUUGGGCGUAAAGCGCGUGUAGGCGGCUGAGUAAGUCUGCUCUGAAAGCCCGGGGCUCAACCCCGGGAGGCGGGUGGAUACUGCUCAGCUCGAGUCCGGAAGAGGAGUGUGGAAUUCCUGGUGUAGCGGUGAAAUGCGCAGAUAUCAGGAGGAACACCAAUGGCGAAGGCAGCACUCUGGGACGGUACUGACGCUGAGACGCGAAAGCUGGGAGCAAACAGG
rnacentral:rRNA from 1 species